rnacentral:rRNA from 1 species
CCUACGGGAGGCAGCAGUGAGGAAUAUUGGUCAAUGGACGAGAGUCUGAACCAGCCAAGUAGCGUGAAGGAUGACUGCCCUAUGGGUUGUAAACUUCUUUUAUAUGGGAAUAAAACGUUCCACGUGUGGGAUUUUGUAUGUACCAUAUGAAUAAGGAUCGGCUAACUCCGUGCCAGCAGCCGCGGUAAUACGGAGGAUCCGAGCGUUAUCCGGAUUUAUUGGGUUUAAAGGGAGCGUAGGUGGAUUGUUAAGUCAGUUGUGAAAGUUUGCGGCUCAACCGUAAAAUUGCAGUUGAUACUGGCAGUCUUGAGUACAGUAGAGGUGGGCGGAAUUCGUGGUGUAGCGGUGAAAUGCUUAGAGAUCACGAAGAACUCCGAUUGCGAAGGCAGUUCACUGGACUGCAACUGACACUGAGGCUCGAAAGUGUGGGUAUCAAACAGGAUUAGAUACCCCAGUAGUC